GCCCGAGUGCUGGAACUGGGAUACAGGAUCGACUUAAAAUCGAUUGCCCUUACGGGAUUGAGGGUUCGACUCCCUCCUCGGGCACCA
rnacentral:tRNA from 1 species